rnacentral:rRNA from 1 species
GACGAACGCUGGCGGCAUGCCUAACACAUGCAAGUCGAACGAGACCUUCGGGUCUAGUGGCGCACGGGUGCGUAACGCGUGGGAAUCUGCCCUUAGGUUCGGAAUAACUUCGGGAAACUGAAGCUAAUACCGGAUGAUGACGUAAGUCCAAAGAUUUAUCGCCUAAGGAUGAGCCCGCGUUGGAUUAGCUAGUUGGUGAGGUAAAGGCUCACCAAGGCGACGAUCCAUAGCUGGUCUGAGAGGAUGAUCAGCCACACUGGGACUGAGACACGGCCCAGACUCCUACGGGAGGCAGCAGUGGGGAAUAUUGGACAAUGGGCGAAAGCCUGAUCCAGCAAUGCCGCGUGAGUGAUGAAGGCCUUAGGGUUGUAAAGCUCUUUUACCCGGGAUGAUAAUGACAGUACCGGGAGAAUAAGCUCCGGCUAACUCCGUGCCAGCAGCCGCGGUAAU